UACGGAGGGGGCUAGCGUUGUUCGGAAUUACUGGGCGUAAAGCGCGCGUAGGCGGCUUUGUAAGUUAGAGGUGAAAGCCCGGAGCUCAACUCCGGAAUUGCCUUUAAGACUGCAUCGCUAGAAUCAUGGAGAGGUUAGUGGAAUUCCGAGUGUAGAGGUGAAAUUCGUAGAUAUUCGGAAGAACACCAGUGGCGAAGGCGGCUCACUGGCCCGGUACUGACGCUGAGGUGCGAAAAGCGGUGGGGAGCAAACAGGG
rnacentral:rRNA from 1 species